rnacentral:rRNA from 1 species
GGAAAUCUUACCAGGCCCGGACAAUGGAAGGAUUGACAGAUUGAUACCUCUUUCUUGAUUCUGUGGGUGGUGGUGCAUGGCCGUUCUUAGUUGGUGGAGUGAUUUGUCUGGUUAAUUCCGUUAACGAACGAGACCUCGACCUGCUAAAUAGAGCGACGAAUCCUUGUGAUUCGUUGGUACUUCUUAGAGGGACUGUUGGUGCCUAGCCAAUGGAAGUUCGAGGCAAUAA